GAUGAACGCUGGCGGCGUGCCUAAUACAUGCAAGUCGAGCGAACAGACGAGGAGCUUGUUCCUCUGACGUUAGCGGCGGACGGGUGAGUAACACGUGGAUAACCUACCUCUAAGACUGGGAUAACUUCGGGAAACCGGAGCUACUACCGGAUAAUAUAUUGAACCGCAUGGUUCAAUAGUUAUAGACGGUUUUGCUGUCACUUAUAGACGGAUCCGCGCCGCAUUAGCUAGUUGGUAAGGUAACGGCUUACCAAGGCGACGAUGCGUAGCCGACCUGAGAGGGUGAUCAGCCACACUGGAACUGAGACACGGUCCAGACUCCUACGGGAGGCAGCAGUGGGGAAUCUUCCGCAAUGGGCGAAAGCCUGACGGAGCAACGCCGCGUGGGUGAUGAAGGUCUUCGGAUCGUAAAACUCUGUUAUUGGGAAAGAACAAAUGUAUAAGUAACUAUGCACGUCUUGACGGUACCUAAUCAGAAAGCCACGGCUAACUACGUG
rnacentral:rRNA from 1 species